rnacentral:misc_RNA from 1 species
GAAAUGCGAUAAUUAAUGUGAAUUGCAGAAUUCAGAGAAUCAUCGAGUCUUUGAACGCACAUUGCGCCCCCUGGUAUUCCGGGGGGCACGCCUGUCCGAGCGUCAUUGCUGCCCUCAAGCACGGCUUGUGUGUUGGGCUUCCGUCCCUGGCAACGGGGACGGGCCCAAAAGGCAGUGGCGGCACCAUGUCUGGUCCUCGAGCGUAUGGGGCUUUGUCACCCGCUCCCGUAGGUCCAGCUGGCAGCUAGCCUCGCAACCAAUCUUUUUAACCAGGUUGACCUCGGAUCAGGUAGGGAUACCCGCUGAACUUAAGC